UCGGGUACGGUGUAGCGGUACCAUCGCUGACUCUCAAUCUCUCCCUCUCCCACAAGAGAGAAAAGAGCACAACCUUCUCUCAGCAGCCCGGGGUUCGACUCCCCGUAUCCGAG